UACGUAGGGCGCAAGCGUUAUCCGGAAUUAUUGGGCGUAAAGAGCUCGUAGGCGGUCUGUCGCGUCGGCUGUGAAAACUCGGGGCUCAACUCCGAGCCUGCAGUCGAUACGGGCAGACUUGAGUGCUGUAGGGGAGACUGGAAUUCCUGGUGUAGCGGUGAAAUGCGCAGAUAUCAGGAGGAACACCGGUGGCGAAGGCGGGUCUCUGGGCAGUAACUGACGCUGAGGAGCGAAAGCGUGGGGAGCGAACAGG
rnacentral:rRNA from 1 species